AACAAAGGCUAAGAAGACCUUUUCUUCCUCAUCUUCUAUACCAAAUUAUGAUGCUCUCAUCACAAGUCCAAACCCAACAGCAGAGCUGUAGGUGAACCGUGAAGUAUGCCCCCUUGGAAACACCAGGGAUAGCAGAAGGCCAAAAGCUCACUUGAUCCUGAUUUUCAGUACGAAUACAGACCGUGAAAGCGGGGCUUCACUAUCCUUCUGCUUUUUGGGUUUUAAGCAGGAGGUGUCAGAAAAGUUACCACAGGGAUAACUGGCUUGUGGCAGCCAACCAUCCAUAGCGACGUCACCUUUUGAUCCUUUGAUGUCGGCUCUUCCUAUCAUUGUGGAUUGUAGGGAACGUGAGCUGGGUUUAGACCGUUGUGAGACAGGGUAGUUUUACCUUACUGAUGAUGUGUUGUUGCAAUAGCGUUGCAAUAGUUGCAAAGCAGUUUUCUGCAUCUCUGGUUAUGGCACAUCCAUUGGAGUUGAUGUCCCAGGAAGACGUGAAGGAAAACUGAGAUUGCAGCAAAUUGCAAAUAUUUGGGAAGCAUUUGCUUGAUAAUUCCCCACUACAAUUAAAGAAAAGAAGUGCACUUGGCAAAGUGACUCAUUUUCCCUGUUAAGUAUCUGCUUGUGGAAAAUUAAUAAGAAAACAUAAGUGUUGAAGAUAAGGCACAAUGCCA
rnacentral:ncRNA from 1 species